UUGCUCCUUUGAAGUUAGCGGCGGACGGGUGAGUAACACGUGGGUAACCUACCUAUAAGACUGGAAUAACUUCGGGAAACCGGAGCUAAUGCCGGAUAACAUUUGGAACCGCAUGGUUCUAAAGUAAAAGAUGGUUUUGCUAUCACUUAUAGAUGGACCCGCGCCGUAUUAGCUAGUUGGUAAGGUAACGGCUUACCAAGGCAACGAUACGUAGCCGACCUGAGAGGGUGAUCGGCCACACUGGAACUGAGACACGGUCCAGACUCCUACGGGAGGCAGCAGUAGGGAAUCUUCCGCAAUGGACGAAAGUCUGACGGAGCAACGCCGCGUGAGUGAUGAAGGUUUUCGGAUCGUAAAACUCUGUUAUUAGGGAAGAACAAAUGUGUAAGUAACUGUGCACAUCUUGACGGUACCUAAUCAGAAAGCCACGGCUAACUACGUGCCAGCAGCCGCGGUAAUACGUAGGUGGCAAGCGUUAUCCGGAAUUAUUGGGCGUAAAGCGCGCGUAGGCGGUUUCUUAAGUCUGAUGUGAAAGCCCACGGCUCAACCGUGGAGGGUCAUUGGAAACUGGGAAACUUGAGUACAGAAGAG
rnacentral:rRNA from 1 species